CAACUCGACAUUGGAAAUGAACAUCCACUUCCUCUGACCCAAUUGCCUGAAAGCUGCGGCCACUCGCUGCAGCAGAGCACUUUGGGUCUUGUUUUGGUUGCUCCCUAUGAUGGCUGCAAUGUGAUACAAGAGAAUGGCAACUAUGUGGUCUCAAUGAUGUGGCUAGAGGCUGAAGUAAAAUUGACCUGCCCCAUUUUGCAAAGUCCUGAUGCAACGCCUGCUCAGCAUCCCUGGAAACAUCCUGUACCUCACAGGCCCUCAAGCUUUUAUCAUCCUAAACGACAUGUAACUCGGCAAAAGGGAAAAUGGAGGGAAGCAACAAUGGGUGUCCGAGAGGGGACCAUUGUGUUCGGCAGGGGUGCUGAGUCUCACGUCGCAAACGGCAACA